UACGUAGGGGCCGAGCGUUGUCCGGAGUUACUGGGCGUAAAGCGCGCGCAGGCGGCUCGUCAAGCCUGACGUGAAAGCCCCCGGCUCAACCGGGGAGGGUCGUCGGGGACUGGCGGGCUUGAGGUCGGCAGGGGUUGGUGGAAUUCCCGGUGUAGUGGUGAAAUGCGUAGAGAUCGGGAGGAACACCGAUGGCGAAGGCAGGUCUCUGGGCAUUAACUGACGCUGAGGAGCGAAAGCAUGGGGAGCGAACAGG
rnacentral:rRNA from 1 species